AGAGUUUGAUCCUGGCUCAGGAUGAACGCUAGCUACAGGCUUAACACAUGCAAGUCGAGGGGCAGCAUCAUCAAAGCUUGCUUUGAUGGAUGGCGACCGGCGCACGGGUGAGUAACACGUAUCCAACCUGCCGACAACACUGGGAUAGCCUUUCGAAAGAAAGAUUAAUACCGGAUGGCAUAGUUUUCCCGCAUGGGAUAAUUAUUAAAGAAUUUCGGUUGUCGAUGGGGAUGCGUUCCAUUAGGCAGUUGGCGGGGUAACGGCCCACCAAACCAACGAUGGAUAGGGGUUCUGAGAGGAAGGUCCCCCACAUUGGAACUGAGACACGGUCCAAACUCCUACGGGAGGCAGCAGUGAGGAAUAUUGGUCAAUGGACGAGAGUCUGAACCAGCCAAGUAGCGUGAAGGAUGACUGCCCUAUGGGUUGUAAACUUCUUUUAUAAAGGAAUAAAGUCGGGUAUGCAUACCCGUUUGCAUGUACUUUAUGAAUAAGGAUCGGCUAACUCCGUGCCAGCAGCCGCGGUAAUACGGAGGAUCCGAGCGUUAUCCGGAUUUAUUGGGUUUAAAGGGAGCGUAGAUGGAUGUUUAAGUCAGUUGUGAAAGUUUGCGGCUCAACCGUAAAAUUGCAGUUGAUACUGGAUAUCUUGAGUGCAGUUGAGGCAGGCGGAAUUCGUGGUGUAGCGGUGAAAUGCUUAGAUAUCACGAAGAACUCCGAUUGCGAAGGCAGCUUACUGGAUUGUAACUGACGCUGAUGCUCGAAAGUGUGGGUAUCAAACAGGAUUAGAUACCCUGGUAGUCCACACAGUAAACGAUGAAUACUCGCUGUUGGCGAUAUACAGUCAGCGGCCAAGCGAAAGCAUUAAGUAUUCCACCUGGGGAGUACGCCGGCAACGGUGAAACUCAAAGGAAUUGACGGGGGCCCG
rnacentral:rRNA from 1 species